GUAUCUGGGGUUCGCUAGCCAUGCGAGUCGAUGUAGCAAUACAUGGCGUACUGCUCAGUAACACGUGGACAACCUACCCUCCGGACGGGUAUAAACCCGGGAAACUGGGUAUAAUCCCCGAUAGAUCUCGGUCGCUGGAAAGCCCCGAGAUCGAAAGCUCCGGCGCCAGAGGAUGGGUCUGCGGCCUAUCAGGUAGUAGUGGGUGUAGCGUACCUACUAGCCUACGACGGGUACGGGUUGUGAGAGCAAGAGCCCGGAGAUGGAUUCUGAGACACGAAUCCAGGCCCUACGGGGUGCAGCAGGCGCGAAAACUUUACAAUGCCGGCAACGGCGAUAAGGGGACCUCGAGUGCCAGGUUACAAAUCUGGCUGUCGUGAUGCCUAAAAAGCAUUGCAUAGCAAGGGCCGGGCAAGACCGGUGCCAGCCGCCGCGGUAACACCGGCGGCUCGAGUGGUAACCGUUAUUAUUGGGUCUAAAGGGUCUGUAGCCGGCCGGAUAAGUCUCUUGGGAAAUCUGGCAGCUUAACUGUCAGGCUUUCAGGAGAUACUGUCUGGCUCGAGGCCGGAAGAGGUGAGAGGUACUUCAGGGGUAGGGGUGAAAUCUUGUAAUCCUUGAAGGACCACCAGUAGCGAAGGCGUCUCACCAGAACGGGCCUGACGGCAAGGGACGAAAGCUAGGGGCACGAACCGGAUUAGAUACCCGGGUAGUCCUAGCCGUAAACGAUACUCGCUAGGUGUCGGCAACGGUGCGACCGUUGUCGGUGCCGUAGGGAAGCCGUGAAGCGAGCCACCUGGGGAGUACGGCCGCAAGGCUGAAACUUAAAGGAAUUGGCGGGGGAGCACCACAACGGGUGGAGCUUGCGGUUUAAUUGGAUUCAACGCCGGG
rnacentral:rRNA from 1 species